rnacentral:rRNA from 1 species
GACGAACGCUGGCGGCGUGCUUAACACAUGCAAGUCGAACGGAAAGGCCCUGCUUUUGUGGGGUGCUCGAGUGGCGAACGGGUGAGUAACACGUGAGUAACCUGCCCUUGACUUUGGGAUAACUUCAGGAAACUGGGGCUAAUACCGGAUAGGAGCUCCUGCUGCAUGGUGGGGGUUGGAAAGUUUCGGCGGUUGGGGAUGGACUCGCGGCUUAUCAGCUUGUUGGUGGGGUAGUGGCUUACCAAGGCUUUGACGGGUAGCCGGCCUGAGAGGGUGACCGGCCACAGUGGGACUGGGAUACGGCCCAGACUCCUACGGGAGGCAGCGGUGGGGAAUAUUGCACAAUGGGCGGAAGCCUGAUGCAGCAACGCCGCGUGCGGGAUGACGGCUUUCGGGUAGUAAACGGCUUUCGCCUGUGACGAAGCGUGAGGGACGGUAAUGGGUAAAGAAGCACCGGCUAACUACGU